rnacentral:lncRNA from 1 species
GUCCUAGAAGUCAAUUAUUGGCUGAUACAUUUUUAUUCUUUGAUACAAAUUUAUACUUUUAACCUGCGGUAUCAUAGUUGCUCACAGUAAGACUGCUGUAAUUUGACUACACAUAAAUAUUAACUUGAUUAUUAGUUUUUGUAGUGAAUGUUGGCUUCAGUUGAUUGAGCUGUGCGAGCAACGUGUGCAUCUAGAUGGGAUCUAUUGAUCUUGAUAGAGAGGAGUAGUCCUAUGAGAUUUGAGAAGCUGAGUCUAUAAGUCUAUGGCCAUAACAGUAUGAUUGAUGAAAAUUUUUUUUAUUUGGAAUCACUAUUGGGCUUGAACUGAUCGGAUCUAUCAUAUGACUGAUGAUGAAGUUUGACGAUUUAUCCAUAACCUGUCAUCUAGUCGGGACUCACGAUAGAGGGACUGUAUCAUACAUUAACUAUAUCUAGAGGUUCUUUUUCAGUUCUGCUG